rnacentral:rRNA from 1 species
AUACGUAGGGGGCGAGCGUUGUCCGGAAUGAUUGGGCGUAAAGGGCGCGUAGGCGGCCCGGUAAGUCUGGAGUGAAAGUCCUGCUUUUAAGGUGGGAAUUGCUUUGGAUACUGUCGGGCUUGAGUGCAGGAGAGGUAAGUGGAAUUCCCAGUGUAGCGGUGAAAUGCGUAGAGAUUGGGAGGAACACCAGUGGCGAAGGCGACUUACUGGACUGUAACUGACGCUGAGGCGCGAAGGUGUGGGGAGCAAACAGGAUUAGAUACCCUGGUAGUCCACACUGUAAACGAUGAAUGCUAGGUGUAGGGGGUAUCGACCCCUUCUGUGCCGCAGUUAACACAAUAAGCAUUCCGCCUGGGGAGUACGGCCGCAAGGUUGAAACUCAAAUGAAUUGACGGGG